AUACGGAGGGGGUUAGCGUUGUUCGGAAUUACUGGGCGUAAAGCGUACGUAGGCGGACUGGAAAGUUGGGGGUGAAAUCCCGGGGCUCAACCCCGGAACUGCCUCCAAAACUUCCAAUCUAGAGAUCGAGAGAGGUGAGUGGAAUUCCAAGUGUAGAGGUGAAAUUCGUAGAUAUUUGGAGGAACACCAGUGGCGAAGGCGGCUCACUGGCUCGAUACUGACGCUGAGGUACGAAAGCGUGGGGAGCAAACAGAAUUAGAUACCCCAGUAGUCC
rnacentral:rRNA from 1 species